UACGUAGGGUGCGAGCGUUAAUCGGAAUUACUGGGCGUAAAGUGUGCGCAGGCGGCCGAGCAAGUCGAGUGUGAAAGCCCCGAGCUUAACUUGGGAACUGCGCUCGAAACUACUUGGCUAGAGUGUGGCAGAGGGAGGUGGAAUUCCACGUGUAGCGGUGAAAUGCGUAGAGAUGUGGAGGAACACCGGUGGCGAAGGCGGGUCUCUGGGCAGUAACUGACGCUGAGGAGCGAAAGCGUGGGGAGCGAACAGG
rnacentral:rRNA from 1 species